rnacentral:rRNA from 1 species
GACGAAGGCUGGCGGCGUGCCUAAUACAUGCAAGUCGAGCGCAGGAAACCGUCUGAACCCUUCGGGGGGACGACGAUGGAAUGAGCGGCGGACGGGUGAGUAACACGUAAAGAACCUGCCCACGGGUCUGGGAUAACCACGAGAAGUCGGGGCUAAUACCGGACGGGUCAUCGGACCGCAUGGUCCGAGGAUGAAAGGCGCUCCGGCGUCGCCCGUGGAUGGCUUUGCGGUGCAUUAGCUAGUUGGUGGGGUGAGGGCCCACCAAGGCGACGAGGCAUCGCCGACCUGAGAGGGUGAUCGGCCACACGGGGACUGAGACAAGGCCCAGACUCCUACGGGAGGCAGCAGUAGGGAAUCUUCCACAAUGGGCGAAAGUCUGAUGGAGCAACGCCGCGUGAACGAUGAAGGCCCUCGGGUCGUAAAGUUCUGUUGUAAGGGAAGAACAAGUGCCGCAGGCAAUGGCGGCACCUUGACGGUACCUUGCGAGAAAACCACGGCUAACUACGUGCCAGCCGCCGCAGUAA